rnacentral:rRNA from 1 species
CCUCUGGCUAUAGGAAAUUGUUAGUGGCAGACGGGUGAGUAAUGCGUAGGAAUCUACCUAGUAGUACGGAAUAGCCAUUAGAAAUGGUGGGUAAUACUGUAUAAUCCCCGAGGGGGAAAGAUUUAUCGCUAUUAGAUGGGCCUACGUUAGAUUAGCUAGUUGGUGAGGUAAUGGCUUACCAAGGCUAUGAUCUAUAGCUGGUCUGAGAGGACGAUCAGCCACACUGGAACUGAGAUACGGUCCAGACUCCUACGGGAGGCAGCAGUGGGGAAUAUUGGACAAUGGGCGGAAGCCUGAUCCAGCUAUGCCGCGUGAGUGAAGAAGGCCUUCGGGUUG